GGAGUGUGGGCGUGGUGGAGGCGGAGCCAAGGACAGAGUCGGAGGACCAGUUCGAUCUGGGCCUGCUUGCUUUUCUCUGUGUGUUCGGACCCUGCUGUUAUCCAUAGGACAAGCUCUGUGACCCUCGCCUGGGACUGACUGGUCUAUGUUCUUUGGGAACCAAUUUCUCUUUGUGAGGUAGAGCACAACCUCCUAGUCUUCCGGGCGGGCCACUCAUUUACCCUGUCAAACUCAGGGGCGGAGCAAUGGGGAACGAAGCUGUAGGGAGCUGAUAAACUCCCAGUUUGAAAACCGAGAUUGUGAGCCCCAGCAGCGAUUCCAGAUUGCUGCCCUACAGGCAGAUGUGUCUUUAUUGGUCUUUAUCGGUCACAUCAGGGUCUUGAUUAGCGUCUUGAGAACUUGAAGCAAACAAUUGCUUAUGGCGUGUCGUUCUUAGACUUAGCCUAGGCAUACCAGAAGUUUACAGCGAAAAAAAUCAGUAGCAAAGCAUCCUAUGAAGGUAAUGUAUGUAGUACAAGGGUUAAAAUCCUGAAUGCCUCUUAAUAGAUGUGUGGCCUUGAGAACAUUUCACUUCCUUGAGCCUCAGUUUCCUGAUCUAUACCAGAAUGCAGAUAACCAUCUGGUAGUGUGGCUGCGAGGGCUAGAGUUUAACAAAUGUAGUUAGGCACUGUUAAGUAAAAGACAACAAAUCCAUUUGUUACUGAAUCUAGUGGAUGAGAAACCAUGUAAGGAAUUUCAGUUUGUUUUAUUUGUUUAAAGCAGGAAGAUGGCAAUCCAAGAUACUCCAAUUCUCUACUUACACAGUCCUCCCGCCUGAAGUAUGAACGGAGAAACAGAUGGAGAAAAGAAUAGUCUUAUUAACCACAAGGUGGCACACUAGAAGGCGGCAAGCAGGCUUUUGCUUUUCAAUGUCCAUCUUGCCCUUUUGCCCUGUUUUUCAAGGGAAGGUAUGUGGGCCCCAAACAGGUGGAGCCCUGGGUGACCCCGUGUUCCAAAGAGCAGCCUGUUCUGGUGUCCUGGCUCUGCACAUCUUACCUUCUUUAUGUAGAGCCGUGAGGUGUUCAGUUCAACACUUUUGUGUUGAUUAAAAUUAAAAUGUCUGGUUAUUGCUGAGGUCAGCUUUUCUGGCAAGCAUCAACUCCAGGAAAUUGACCUCUUGUAACCUGAGACAAGGGAGGAAGGGGAGGGACUAUGUUUUUAGCUAACUUCAAUGAGCAGGUGUUCGACAAAAGGUAAAUUUCAGUGGGCAGCUAAUUCUGGAGAGUGCAGUAUGGAAUAUGCAGAAAUGGGGGUAUUAUGCAUGGUUUUAUUCCCAAGAAGCAGUUUUGGCUUUCUUCUUAUUUGUGUGUUAAAGUGUCAUAUGGGAGUGAUUAGGGGUGGGAGAAAGUUUGUCAACAUGAAGUCAGGAUGUGAAUAUUCACUGUCCAGACUAUAUAAGAAGCAAAAUUGGAAUCAAGUAGGAGGAUCUUAUAUACAUGCACGCUCUCCAACACACACACACACACACACACACACACACACACACACAUACACACACACACACCAGGGGCAGGGGAGGGUUCCUUAAAUAGUAGAGCAUAGAGGAAGGGUAGGGAAGGACACUGCAGUUCUACAUCUACCCUCCAGAACCUUGGUUCUUGUGGAAGCUGCAAUGAAUAAGGACUAGUAAGGGAGAGGCAUAGCCAGGAGGUUCACUGGGAGGCUUGGAUUAUUUGUAAAAGCCAAUGUUGGAUCUAGACGUCAGUGUUUGCUCUUUAUAGACAGGCACAGUCGUGAAGCUUCAAGCUGCUGGCUGUUUCGAUAGCGUCUCAUGGAGAUCUCAUUGUCCAGGUGAUACUGACAGUUCACUCAGGCAUAUUCUAGGGUGAGGAUUCAAGACUCGUCUUUAUUCAUGUAAGGAGAAAAACGGGAAUGUCUUUAUCUUAACAGGAGAGCUCAUUUUCUCCUUAGGAAACAGUGUCAAUGGUUUUUAGACUUACUAAUUGGAAACCAGGAGGCUGGUGUGAUCUAAAGAGUUCUAGCUUCCAAGGGGCCUUUCAUGAGUCCACAGGACCCUGCCUGCUAAUAGACCUGCAUGGCUAAUAGAACAUUCUGCCAUGACAGAAAACUUCCUGUGUUCUGUCCAGUAUGGCAGCGCUGGCCACAUUUGACUGAUGACUGCUUGAACUGUGGCUGCUGUGAGUAAGAAACUGAGCUCUAAGUUGUACUUAAUUUUGCUUUUGAACAGACAGCUAGUUCUGCUAGUAGAAAAACUGUAAGUAUAUUUGAAAAACUUGGGUAGAGGAGCUCUUGAGAGGGUUCAGUUAGUAAAGGCUCAGGCCACCAAGUCUGACUGACUGAGUUUGACUCUCAGGAUCUGCAUAGUAGAAAAGAGUACUGACUCCUUAAGUUGUCCCUUAAAACACACACACAUACACACUCACUGAAUAAAUGUGAUUUAAAAGGCAUACACAUAUCCUUUGGGUUCUAAAGACUACAACAUCUAAAUAUAGAUCAAACACUUCUGAUGAAGACUUUGUGUUCAAGUUGAGAUCUAAUAUGUUUUGUAUUCUUACAUAUUAAAAACCAUAAUAUUCUGGGUUGACUAGCUAAAAUAAAACAUGGAAAUCUGUCUUACCUAGUAUGUUUAUUUUUAAAGGAAAAUCCAAAAUGGUGAAUGUGACUCAUGUUACACUCCUACAGAACAGCACUGGUAUGCAUAUAAUAAAGGAUAUUAUUUAU
ensembl:lincRNA I830134H01Rik RIKEN cDNA I830134H01 gene